GAAGGACACUUUGGUGAAACUAGAAGGUUCUUGAACUCCAACAUAUAUUUCAUUCUCCCGGAAAUCAACAGGCUCACGAAACCCUAUUCGAGCGAGCGACGCAGAGAACGCCGGAGAAAAAUGUCGCACUUCGGAAGAACUGGACCUCCGGACAUCACCGAUACUUACUCUCUUCUCGUCCUCAACAUCACAUUCCGUACCACAGCCGAUGAUCUGUAUCCUCUUUUCGACAAGUACGGGAAGGUUGUCGAUAUCUUUAUUCCGCGAGACAGAAGGACUGGUGAGUCACGUGGGUUUGCAUUUGUUCGUUACAAGUAUGCAGAUGAAGCACAGAAGGCUGUGGAUAGGCUGGAUGGAAGAGUGGUUGAUGGGCGGGAAAUGGCUGUUCAAUUUGCCAAAUAUGGGCCAAAUGCAGAACGAAUUCAGCAAGGGAGGAUCAUUGAGAAGGUUUCAAGAAUCAAAGGAAGCUCGCGAAGCAGAAGCCCUCGUAGAAGAUACCGCGAUGAUCACUAUAGAGAUAGAGAGUACAGGAAAAGUAGGAGCAGAAGCGUUGAUCGUUAUGAGCGUGACAGGCAUAAGCGGAGAGAUCGGGAUUAUCGCCGUCGAAGUAGGAGCCACAGCUUAAGUCCGGACUAUGAUCGAGAUCGUGGCAGGGGACGUGACAAAAAACACUAUAGGAGGAGUCCAUUUGACAGUGCCUCCCCACCUCGGCGUAGUCCCAGUCCUUACAGGAAAGAGUCCCCUCGUAGAAGCUUAUCACCCAAAAAAGGAAGCCCUGAGAAGCGCAGUCACAUUGAACGUUCUCCAACUCCUCGAAGCCGAUCCCCUCCUGGUCGAGCAAUUGAUUCACGAAGCCCUUCUCCUCGUGCUGAUGAGGAGUAAUUUUCUGCUGGCAUAAUGUGAGGAGGGGCUAAUGAAGUCCGUCCACUUUUAGCUGUCUUCUGACUGUGUCAGAAUGCGAACUGUGUGAUGCAAUAUCUAGGCAAAGUAUUAGCUGACAUUUUGUUAUGAUCGAGAGAAGGAUGGUGAGGUUGAUGUCAGAUGAUGAUGAUGAUGAUGUGGCUGUCCACAGUCCUUGUAACUUAUAGUUCGUGAAAUUUGAUGAGCCUGAUUGGUAGAUGAUGUGUUGGUUGUGCUGAUGAUGGUCGGCUGUUGCGAUGCAGCUUUUGAUGCUGUUUGUAGUUUAUGUAUUUGCGAUGCAUGAAGAGCAGAUGCUGGCUGGAGAUUUUCUGUGUGCACGUGUAUAUAAUGUGUAUUGGGUAAGCCUUUCUCCAGUCAAGAGCUCAUAAGCCAUAUCACGUCUCUUAUCCAAAAAAGGAGCUCAUGUCAUAAUCAUUUUACUAAAUUAUAAAAAUAUGCUUCAUCCAAGAAUUAGCUUUCCUUAUAUGACAUCUAUAUCUUUUGAAAUAAUCAUAUAAUGUUAUAUAGUCGAUCUUUUGAAAGACGUGCGUAUUGGCAAACCCGGUUAUGACAAUUGACAAAGAAUAAUUUCGUUAAGCGU